AUCUUUUUGUUUUCUAAGUGCGAUGACUGGGUUUUCAUGCUAUUGUGUGAGAUGUGUCUCCUCAAACUUUGUUAUGAUGUCAGCACAUUAUCCAUCUGACA